rnacentral:lncRNA from 1 species
AAGCUUCGGAGGUGGCCAAGAUGAGUCUGGAACAUGUUUUAGAAGCUCAAACGGAGCUAAAAAUAAGUGCAUGCACUCCACGCUUCGGAAAGGGGUUAGGGAGUGAAGGUACAUGCCACCAAGAUGUUCCACACGCCUGCACGCAUGAAUGGAGGUUUAGAAUUAGUCACGCUACUCAUACCAAAUUGGAUAAAGAAAUCUUCCAAACCAUUUGGUAACACAAUUGAUAUUCCCAACCAUCCCAAGAUAUUCAUCCAAACAACCCAAGCAAACCUGCAACCCAAGAACAAGUGAAUACAAGUUUCAUCAUGUACCCCACAAAAAUAACAUUCAAUUCCAAUAUCCAGUCAGGAAGAAUUAUGUCUGCAAUUUGGAUUGCAACGAUAUGGGCUCUUUGGCAAGCUAGGAAUAAGACUGCAUUUCGUGGAGGCACAUUGAUUGUCGAAGCAACUGUUGAUUUGAUCCAAUAUAAAGUCUGGUUGUGGAUUAAAGCAAAUAAUUCGGCCUUUGCUUAUUCUUUGGUGGAUUGGAUCCAAAACCCGUGGGAAUGCAUUCUACAUAUCUAGUUAAUCUUCUACCAUGAGUAUUAUAUAUUUCUGCUGGAGUAUUUUUUGAAGGGUACCUUGAGACUACAACAUGAAUAUGGGUACUGAAUUGGAUGCAAAACUUGGCAGCUGGAUUUAGGGUGGGUUAUUAGAAUUUUUUGUAAGCUUCCUUGAAGAUACUCUCUUGGCUUUGCAAAAUUGGUACUCUUUUUCCUUGCUAGGUUUUCCCAAGGGGGUUUUAUCCUAGCAAGGUUUUAAUGAGGCUUUUUUUGUGAAGUCUAUUUUCUUGGAAGUAUUAGGUGGGGUAGUUUUGUUGUUGUAGGAUCUUUGUCUGUAUUUGUUAGUUCUUUACUUGUCUCUUCUCUCCUUUGUAUUGGGUUGAAGUACCCCUUGUACUUCUAUUCAAUAUAAUUCUUAUUGCCUAUAAAAAAAAAACGCAUGAAUGGAGGUUGAAGAUGAGCAGUUUAUUUUCCGAAAACAAAGGUGAUGUUCAUUUUGUGAGAUUCCGCUCAUAUUUUCUUGAAGAAAGUAGAUCAAGGC